UACGGAGGAUCCGAGCGUUAUCCGGAUUUAUUGGGUUUAAAGGGUGCGUAGGCGGAAAUGUAAGUCAGUGGUGAAAUCCUGCAGCUUAACUGUAGAAUAGCCGUUGAAACUGUGUUUCUUGAGUACAUCUGAGGUAGGCGGAAUGUGGUGUGUAGCGGUGAAAUGCAUAGAUAUACCACAGAACACCGAUUGCGAAGGCAGCUUACUAAACUGUCACUGACGCUGAUGCACGAAAGCGUGGGUAUCAAACAGGAUUA
rnacentral:rRNA from 1 species